AGAGUUUGAUCAUGGCUCAGAAUCAACGCUGGCGGCGCGCCUAACACAUGCAAGUCGAACGAGAAAGUGGAGCAAUCCAUGAGUAAAGUGGCGUACGGGUGAGUAACACGUGGAUAACCUGCCCUCUAGUGGGGAAUACCGUUGGGAAACCGACGACAAUACCGCAUAAGCUCGAGAGAGGAAAGCAGCAAUGCGCUGGAGGAGGGGUCCGCGGCCGAUUAGCUUGUUGGUAGGGUAAUGGCCUACCAAGGCUUUGAUCGGUAGCCGGCCUGAGAGGGCACACGGCCACACUGGCACUGAAACACGGGCCAGACUCCUACGGGAGGCAGCAGUGGGGAAUCUUGCACAAUGGGGGAAACCCUGAUGCAGCGACGCCGCGUGAGCGAUGAAGCCCUUCGGGGUGUAAAGCUCUUUCGGCAGGGAAGAUUAUGACGGUACCUGCAGAAGCAGCUGCGGCUAACUACGUGCCAGCAGCCGCGGUAAUACGUAGGCAGCAAGCGUUGUUCGGAGUUACUGGGCGUAAAGGGUGCCAGGCGGUCCUGUAAGCAUGGUGUGAAAUCUCCCGGCUUAACUGGGAGGGUGCGCUAUAAACUGCGGGACUAGAGUGUGGGAGAGGAAAGUGGAAUUCCUGGUGUAGCGGUGAAAUGCGUAGAUAUCAGGAGGAACACCGGUGGUGUAAACGGCUUUCUGGACCAUAACUGACGCUGAGGCACGAAAGCGUGGGUAGCAAACAGGAUUAGAUACCCUAGUAGUCC
rnacentral:rRNA from 1 species